rnacentral:rRNA from 1 species
ACUCCUGCGGGAGGCAGCAGUGAGGAAUAUUGGACAAUGGGUGGAAGCCUGAUCCAGCCAUCCCGCGUGCAGGAAGACGGCCCUAUGGGUUGUAAACUGCUUUUAUCUGGGGAUAAACCUACUUACGUGUAAGUAGCUGAAGGUACCAGAAGAAUAAGCACCGGCUAACUCCGUGCCAGCAGCCGCGGUAAUACGGAGGGUGCAAGCGUUAUCCGGAUUUAUUGGGUUUAAAGGGUCCGCAGGCGGACUGAUAAGUCAGUGGUGAAAUCCGACAGCUUAACUGUCGAACUGCCAUUGAUACUGUUAGUCUUGAGUAAGGUUGAAGUGGCUGGAAUAAGUAGUGUAGCGGUGAAAUGCAUAGAUAUUACUUAGAACACCAAUUGCGAAGGCAGGUCACUAAGUCUUAACUGACGCUGAUGGACGAAAGCGUGGGGAGCGAACAGGAUUAGAAACCCCGGUAGUCCCA